ACUGCCCUUACUGAUGAUGCAUAGUUGCGGCAAUGAUUUUAAAAUUAUAGUAGAAACUAACUGUUUUUUAUUAUGAGAUUUACUGUUCUCUCACGGGGCCUAAUCAUAACGCAGUUGUGUUGAUGGUUAUAUGGAGACAAAUAGUGUUUAGCUCUAAAGAUAUAAUUUAAUGAAAUUGAUGGUGCAUCUGCAGACCUGACACCCAAAGGAUCUUCGUCGAUAUCGGAUAUGGGUUUCACGUGGAAUUCACAUGGGAUGAAGCUCUGAACUACAUACCACUAAGGGAAGAGUUAUUAGCAAGGCAGAUAGAAGAGUGCACUCGUAGAAUUGUCCGGAUCAGGCUGAUAUCAAGCGGAUUCAUGAAGGGAUACGACAGUUGCUUCAAAUUCCGCAGGAGCCAUAUGUAGAAGAGCGCGUCUUUUAGCAGCGCAUCUGAAUUUGUCUCGUGUAAUUCUCUCCUUUCUCUCUGGCACUUA